rnacentral:snoRNA from 2 species
GGGCCAAUGAUGACAACCAAAUGUCAUGAAGAAAUGUGAUGACAUAAAAUUCAUGCUCAAUAGGAUUACGCUGAGGUCC